AGUUUAAUGAUGAUAAAAGCCAAAAACGUGACCAUAUUCUGGACGUAUACAAUGAUAGGCCUGAUU
rfam:Tetrahymena thermophila SB210 genomic scaffold scf_8254010, whole genome shotgun sequence.